UACGUAGGCAGCAAGCGUUGUUCGGAGUUACUGGGCGUAAAGGGUGCGUAGGCGGUCCUAUAAGUAUGGUGUGAAAUCUCCCGGCUUAACUGGGAGGGUGCGCUAUAGACUGUGGGACUAGAGUGUGGGAGAGGAAAGUGGAAUUCCUGGUGUAGCGGUGAAAUGCGUAGAUAUCAGGAGGAACACCGGUGGCGAAGGCGGAUCUCUGGGCCAUUACUGACGCUGAGGAGCGAAAGCGUGGGGAGCGAACAGG
rnacentral:rRNA from 1 species